rnacentral:rRNA from 1 species
CACGAACGCUGGCGGCAGGCUUAACACAUGCAAGUCGAGCGCCCCGCAAGGGGAGCGGCAGACGGGUGAGUAACGCGUGGGAAUCUACCCAUCUCUACGGAAUAACGCAUGGAAACGUGUGCUAAUACCGUAUACGUCCUUCGGGAGAAAGAUUUAUCGGAGAUGGAGGAGCCCGCGUUGGAUUAGCUAGUUGGUGGGGUAAAGGCCUACCAAGGCGACGAUCCAUAGCUGGUCUGAGAGGAUGAUCAGCCGCACUGGGACUGAGACACGGCCCGAACUCCUACGGGGGGAGGCGGUGGGGAAUAUUGGACAAGGGGCGCAAGCCUGAUCCAGGCAUGCCGCGUGAUGGAUGAAGGCCCUAGGGUUGUAAAGCUCUUUCACAGGUGAAGAUAAUGACGGUAACCGGAGAGGAAGCCCCGGCUAACUUCGUGCCAGCAGCCGCCGUAAAAC